GUUUGGAAUGUGAAGAACAAUUUCUCCAUUAGAAGCUUGAAACCAGAGUCACAGAGCAGCAAUGAUUUACUUUUACAGCCUCAGUUCUACUCAAGACAUGCAAGAACGAAAAAUUGCUGAAUGUCAGUGCUGUGAAGCCCUGAGCCUGCUUUGAUGUGUCAAAUCAAACAUUAGCAUAACUUGCUACCUUUGGAAAUGUGGAUGUUUAUUUAUAGGAUUUUUAAUAAAGUUCUACUUGAAUAUAAA